GGAGAAUAUUCUCUGGGCGGGCUUGGAGAAGAUUUUAGGGCGCACGGAGCUGGAUUUUAGGGCGGUCCGUUCGUGGUGUGGCGAUGGGAUGGAUCUUCUCCAGGAUUUUUUUUUCAAGCCUUGCGCCAGGGAUUUUGCCAGUCUCUUGUCAUGGAGGUAGGCAAAAUUUACUUUGUUCUCGCUUAGUUUUUCUCAAUUCCUAGCUUAGAAGCUCGAGAAAAUUCUUGCAUUUUGUCAUCUUUUCUGUCGUUUUUUUGCUUCUUUUCUCCUGCAGGCCUGAUGGAUCGUAUAAGAAUUCAUUGAAUAGCACCGGCGACACCUUAGAACGGAUUUGAAAGGAAAAAUAACUAUUCUUCGUCCUCAGGUAUCGCUCACCUAUUGUCGUAGCUUGCUCUUCAGGUACCACGAUUCAUCGCUCAUCUAUUGUCGUAGCUAUAGUGGGCUUUUCUCAGAAAUUUUUUUUUUCUUUUCUUUGAAUGUGACACUGUUUCCUUUUUUUCUCUCUACAAGGUCGCAGCCCAUAAACGCAACGAUUGAGCUGUUCAGUACCACGACUUAACUGCUGGUCUAUUUGUCGUUCCUUGAGGUAGGCCAAUUGUAGCGCAGUUUGCAGUAGCUUUUGCUUCGAUCAAGCACUCUUUUUACUUCUUUGCUUCAGGAAAACGAAAAGAAAAAAACCAUUUUGAUCCGCAGGCCUGCCUGACCGAUGAUCUUAAAAUCGACAACAUCAACAGCAACAGUGCCAACAAAAGCAGUGCCAACAAAGAACAAAGCUUCAAGAAAGCUGCCGCGGCCGCUGUUUGGUGAGCCGCGUUAAGGGAGAAAGAGAUCUAUGCGAAUCGAUCGAGCGCCAUCAAAAGCAGAUCACAUCUCUCAUGCUGCCAGAUUACUCACCGUGCUCGCGACCGCCAGCAAUCCUCGAUCGAAACAGGCGAGCUCCCCCUUCCUCGUUUCAUUUAUUUCUCCCUCCCCUCUCUCACUUUACUUUCUCUCUUCGUGUAGGCUACACAGUGACGAAGAACGAAUCUCUCUUUGUGCGAUCACGCGGCCGGCUACCUUACGGUGUACAACCAAGACAAACUCUUUACAUCGCGUCAUCGCGUCCCCCUUGGCUCCAUGGACCACACACCCAAUGGGGGGGUUUUAAACAAAACAAAGCGGGGGGGCCGCUGACGUGUCUGAGAGCCCACGUGGAUUUUCCCGGCAAGUGGCCAACUUGGCCGCGAAAAUCGGUCAAAAUCUCCCCGUCCGCUACCUGGGCUUGCGCCACGUGGAUGCAUUGGACGAAGGGAUGCUGUGGCCCAUGCCCGACUGUACACACGCGCCAAGGGGGCCCAUGUCCGUACUGUCCCAUAUGCUAGUACACGUGGGGACUGGGGGCGUUGGAUGUCCGUGUCGCGAUAUCUGAUUAACGACUAAUCUACUCUUUUAUCAUAUUUAAGCCAUUUUUAAGUCAGAAAAA